rnacentral:rRNA from 1 species
UACGUAGGGCGCAAGCGUUAUCUGGAAUUAUUGGGCGUAAAGAGCUCGUAGGCGGUUUGUCGCGUCUGCCGUGAAAGUCCGGGGCUCAACUCCGGAUCUGCGGUGGGUACGGGCAGACUAGAGUGAUGUAGGGGAGACUGGAAUUCCUGGUGUAGCGGUGAAAUGCGCAGAUAUCAGGAGGAACACCGAUGGCGAAGGCAGGUCUCUGGGCAUUAACUGACGCUGAGGAGCGAAAGCUGGGGAGCGAAACAGGAUUAGAACUACCCGAGUCAGUCCAA